rnacentral:rRNA from 1 species
UACGAAGGGUGCAAGCGUUAAUCGGAAUUACUGGGCGUAAAGCGUGCGUAGGCGGUUGCUUAAGUCAGAUGUGAAAGCCCUGGGCUCAACCUGGGAAUGGCAUUUGAAACUGGGCAGCUAGAGUGUGAUAGAGGAUGGCGGAAUUCCCGGUGUAGCGGUGAAAUGCGUAGAGAUCGGGAGGAACAUCCGUGGCGAAGGCGGCCAUCUGGAUCAACACUGACGCUGAGACGCGAAAGCGUGGGGAGCAAACAGG